UGGGGAGGGAGGGAAGGGGGAUAAUUUAUUUUUUAAAUAAGGCUGAAGACAUGAAGUCUGGUCAAUGUUUGGCAAGGAGAGGAAAGUUGGGAACGUCCCUGCGCUGCACCCGGGGCUGGGGGCAGGGAGCAGCAGAGGGGGUCCGCGGAGUUGGGAGAGCGGUGUCUGCUUCUCCCAGACUGCCCCUGGCAGAAGGGGUGGCUUGGAGCCAGCCGGUGGAGGGGAGAGGGGGGCAGAGCGUGUGCACCCCUCUUCUCCCCUUAUUCCCGGUACUCCCUGAGCUCUCGGCAGCAGCGGCCUCCGCCUCCCUGGCACCUUGGGGCUCGGGGCCCAGGCCUGUUUCAGGGGUCUGGGGGGGCUGGGGCUGGGCUCCCUUGGGGCCUGGGUCUCUUCCUCACCUUUCCUUAGCAAGGUCUGAGGCUGGCCUGGUGCCCCCUGGGCACGGCAGAGCCGUCUGCCAGCCCCCAUCCUGUCUGGCUCUGGGGGAGCCUAUCACCAGCUCCUUCUCUUAGCCCAGCCCAACCCCGACCCAGCAGGAACCUGGUCCAGGGGGUCUCCUCCCACCUUCAGCCCGGCCAGGAGCCCUCUGUGAGCCUUCGGUGAGGCCGACCCACUGACCUGGUCUAGCAGCCCUGCUGUGUCUCCCCGUCGGUCUUCCUGCCACAAGGUCAGGCUCUGAGAAGCCAAGGUACACCUUCUUGUGGUAUUUAGUAACGUGCAAAACCCCUGUUUGGCUCUUCCGGGGAGACACAGACCAGAAGGCCCUGGGGGCCCUGGGCGGAAGCUCUGCCUGCCCCGGCACCGGCCCCCCUGAGCCCUGGUUGGAUCUCUCCAGAAGGUCCUAUGGUCACAGCCAGAGCUCCCACAAGGGGGCUUCUCAGCCCUGGCCUGGGUUAUGCCUCGGCCUCUCAGGAGUCCCCAAAGCAGGGCACCCCCAGCUCCUUGUAGGGACUCCUGAGCUUGGGGAGACUGGGAAACCUCCACAUGGGGCCCUCAGAUUGUGAGGAAGCGGGGUGCUUCCACCAGGCACAGCAGCCAGACGGGGCCCUUAAAAUCUGGACCCUCAGGGUCCCUGCAGGUGCAGCCCAGAGGGACCCAAAUGGCCUGAAGACAGGUGGUCACAAGCAAUAGCCCUCACCUUUAGCAGCAUUGGGAGGGGUCAAGGCCGGCUGGCCCUUCCCCCCUGGCAGAGCCCAGCCCAGCCCCAGGACCGGGGUGCUGCAUCCCAGAGUCCCUCAGCUCCAAGGCGGCCCCAGGGGGCAGAGCCUAGUCUGCUGGAGAUGGCUGGUCAGCCCCCUCCCUCAGCAGGGAAGCCCCUGACGGGGCUCUCACUACCUCUCUGGCGCUGCCCAGCAUGCAGCGGGCAUUCCCUUAGCCCUCAGGAGGCCAUAUUGUAGCACCAUCUCCUGAGGCAGCCUGGGAGUCUCUUGGACAAGGCCCACUCCCAUGGGAGAAAGUGUUCCAUCAAAUGCUGCCCACCCCCACCCCCAUACCACUGCAGGGCGGGUCCGGCCCGCUGAAAUCCUGGCAGGCCGAGGUCAGGGGAAACCCCUCCCUCCCCAUUCUCUGGAAGGUCUUCAGUGAUCUCACUGGUAGUGAGAGGCUGCUGGGGAUCCCAGUGCCCAGAAGGAUGGACAUUCGAGCCUGGCUCCGUCACUUACCAGCUGUGUGACCAAUGGCCAAUCACCCUCUCUGAGCCUCAGUUUCCUCAUCUGAAAAAUGGGGAUAUUCAAUACACCUACCUCCCAGCGUUAUUGUGAGAUAAUAUUUAUAAAGCCCUUAGCACUGUGCCUGGCACAUAGUCGGAGCUUAAUAAAUGCUUGUUUCCAUCCUUCCUUCCUUUAUAUAUAAUACAAUUAGAGUAGUAUUGCAAUCAAAAGUGUUACAGACAGCCCAAGACCAGGAGGGUUCUUUAACUCCUCUGUAAGGGAGAAAAUACAAAAAGUUUCGAUUUCUGCUAUAAAAAAAAAUUUAAAGUUGUUUCAAAUUUUAAAAGUCUCUUCUGGUCAGCCAAAAUGGGCCUUCUCCCUGCCCCUCUCCCCACUUGAGAAUGUGAGAAAAAUUGGGGCAGCAGAUGCCGCAGUGGAUAGAGCACCAGCCCUGAAGUCAGGAGGACUUGAGUUCAAAUCUGGUCUCAGUCACUUACCACGUGCUAAGUGUGACCCUGGGCAAGUCACUUAACCCCAAUUGCCUCAGCAAAAAAAAAAAAAAAAAAAGAAAAGAAAAAAGAAAUAAAGAAAAGAGAAGAGAAGAGAAUGUGAGAAAAGUAAAACCAGCAAACAUGUAUGGCCAAUCAAAACUGAUGUCCACCUUGUCCGUGUCCAGGAAAUUGUCUCCUCCUCCAUUUUGAGUCCCUCACCACUACCCAGGAAGUAAGAUAACAUGUUCAUUCUUCCCCUGGAAUCCUCAAUGCUCUUCACAUUGAUAAGUGUUCAGUACAGUGGUGUCCAGAUCUGCUUUUCUGUCCGUUCUCCACUUUAUGGGCAUGUCCUCAGAUUCCCAUUCCUUGCCACAUCAAGGAAUGGUCGUGUUUGUGCAUCAUUCUGUCUGAGCUAUCCCUUCCUUAACCUCCCCUUUAAUUCCUCCUCUCCCCUUCUCCAAGGGCCCUCUUAUUUUUUUGGUGAGCAAAAUGAACCCAACAGUGUUGUGUGUGUGUGUGUGUGUGUGUGUGUGUGUGUGUGUGUGUGUGAGUGUGUGUGAGUAUGUAUGUGUGAGUGUGUGUGUGUGUGUGUGUGAGUGAGUGAGUGAGUGUGUGUGAGUGUGAGUGUGUGUGUGUGUAUGAGUGUGUGAGUGAGUGUGUGUGUGUGAGUGUGAGUGUGUGUGUAUGAGUGUGUGUGAGUAUGUAUGUGUGAGUGAGUGAGUGUGUGUGUGAGUGUGAGUGUGUGUGUGUAUGAGUGUGUGAGUGACUGUGUGUGUGUGUGAGUGUGAGUGUGUGUGUGUAUGAGUGUGUGAGUGACUGUGUGUGUGUGUGAGUGUGAGUGUGUGUGUAUACCUGUAAGAGUAAUAGUCAUGUCUCGACCAUUCCCCUCCUUCCUUCUUCCUUGUAAGAAUAUCUGCUUGUGAGCUCCGACCAUGUGAGAUAAUUGUCCCGGCCUUCCCUUCCCCUCCCCACUCCCUCUUCCCCUUUCCCCCUUCAUUCUUUACUUGGGAGCAUCAAGACGGAAUAAAAUCACUCCCAGGCCUUUUCUGAUCUGAUUCUCUCCAGGAGCCAGAUGACAGAGAUCCAAAGGGACAUGUGGCGUUUCCCCAUAUUUGAAUGUAAACAUUAUGAGCAACGUAGGCCUUGGUCAUCGGCCAUUCACAUUUACUUUUUUUAUGUUACUCUUCACUCCUCUGUUCAGAGUUUGUCACUCUGGGCUUUUCAUCAGGAAUGCUUAGAAGUCACCUGUUUCAUUAAGUCACCUUUCCCCCUGAAGGAUCAUGCCCAGUGUUGCUGGGUAAAUUACUCUGGGCUGCAAGCAUGUUGCCAUUGUAUUCUGGAAUUUCAGAUUCCAAACUCUGCUCCUUCAAGGUGGUGGUUGCUAAAUCGUGUGCGAUCCCAACUGUAACUCCUCUUUCUUUUUAGCUCCUUGCAGUGUUUUUUUUCUUUGAUCUGGAAGUUCUGGAUUUUAGUUAUGAUGUUCCUGGGAGCUGCAGGAGGUUACAGAUGGAUUCUUUCUUUUGUGAUUUCUUUUACUAGAAUGUCUUGACUUUUUUUCCCCUGAGGCAAUUGGGGUUAAGUGACUUGUCCAGGGUGACACAGCUAGGAAGUGUUAACUAUUUGAGACCAUAUUUGAACUCAGGGCCUCCUGACUUCAGGGCUGGUGCUCUACCCACUGCACCCACUUAGCUGUCCCGAUUGUCUUGACUCUUAAAAAACAUCAUACACAUUCUUAAUUUUUUCUCUUUGAUCUAUUUUCUAGGUUGAUUGUUUUUGCUAGGAGAUACCUUACAUUUUCCUCUUUUUUUAAAAAGUGCUUUGAUUUUGUGUGAAUGUAUCUUGUUGUUUCAGGAAUCACUGGCUUCUAUUCGGUUCUUCUUAAUAUCCAGGAUGUUUGUCAUUUGGACAAGUUUUGUCUUGUGUACCAAGCUAUUAAUUCCUUUUCCCAUUCUUUCUUCCUUAGCUCUCAUUUCUUUUCUAAAUUUUUCCUCAAGUGCUCUUAUUUAUAAAAAUAUUUUUAAACUCUUGCUUCAUCUCUUCCAGGAAUUCUAGUUGAAUUUCUUCCCAAGUUAUUUUUCUCCAAGGCUUUCCUUGUGGAUGUUUAAUCAUUCUCUUCUAGAUUUGUGUCUCGAGUUUCUCUGAUACAUGAGAGGAUUCUUUUUUGUUAUUUAUUGGCCCGUUCUUCCCGUCUACUUUCAGACUUGAGACUUUAUGUCUGUGAUUGGCUCUGCUGCACUUGAGCAGGAGAAGUCUGGACUAGUCCUGUUCCUGCUCUUUUGGGGUUCAGAACAUUAUGUUAUUCCAGAAUCUUGGGGACGGACCGGAGCCCUGCCAGCUUUUGGUACUCCCAGAGUCUGAUCCAGGCAAAGACGGCUGCCCCCUGCCUUUGUCUGAGCUCUGACUUGGGACUAAAAGGAGACUGCUCUGGACUCAGCUCCUGUACAUCAGCCGGAGAGUGCUUUGGUUCAGAGCAGCAAUAUUAUGGUUCCCCCUUAGUCUGGGAUCCCCCCCGUAAGCUCUAGACCAAAGUCUGUUCGGUCACUCCGGGCUCACACGAGCCAUGCUCGUUGUCUGGCCAGCUGGGAGAGGAAGGGUUUCAGUCAUCAAUAACGGAGUUCACCAGUCAUUGUCCGCCGCUCUAUGGGCCGUGCUGUGGAAGGGGGAUGCUCCUUAUCCGGCUUGAUCCCUGAGGGCAGGAGGGGGACCAACAGGGGGAAGUUACUCAAAUCUCAACAGAAAUAAAAAAAUGACCCAGGCUGCUGUGGGGUAGUGAGCACCCUACCAUUAGAGGUACUUGGGCAGGGACGAGAUGGCCACUUUCCAGACAGAAAAUUCAUCUACCGUUCAGUGGAGAGGAUUAAAUAUCAGUAGCUGGCAGUGUACUUCUCACAACCGUCCUAGCAAGUAGACAAGGCAAGAAGGCAUUUAUUAAGAAAGCACUUGUUACGUGCCAGGCCCUGGGAUACAAGUGCGAGCCAAAACCCAACAUUCCCUGCCUUCAAAGAGCUCAUGCUCUAAUUGGGGAAAAUACACAGAAGUUAAGUAGAAAUCAUGAAAGUGAAGGGGUUUGGGGCUGGAAGUAAAGGCUGUAAGUGGAAAGUACAGACUUAGUGAAAUAAUUCAGUGAUAACAGUGAGGGGGAUAAAGUUUGGUCCGGUCCUUCCCCAAAAUAGAGGCCCCAGGAGAGACUCACACAUGGGAAAGCAGGGCCAACAUGGUGGAAGGAUGUUUUAGGGUGGAGGCCCAUGGUCUGAGAUUUCAGGGAGCGGCCAUCUUUGCCUGGAUCAGACUCUGGGAGUACCAAAAGCUGGCAGGGCUCCGGUCCGUCCCCAAGAUUCUGGAAUAACAACGUUCUGAACCCCAAAAGAGCAGGAACAGGACUAGUCCAGACGUCUCCUGCUCAAGUGCAGCGGAGCCAGUCACGAACACAAAGUCUCAAGUAGUGCAGGUAUUAUUCUGUUUUAUAGAUGAAAAGUCCGAAGCUCAAAGACUUUGAAUGUCACACAGCUGGUGAGUGGAAGUUACAACCCAAACUCUUGCCAACAGGGGCUCCGCUGUAAGCCGCUGACUUUCCCAUAUGUCUUCUAGAGCUAGAGAUUCCAGCUCUUACUUUCUGACGACUCCAACCCAUAAAGAAGAGGGAGCUGGGCAGUGAAUCGAGGGAAAGAUGUGCUUGCCGUUGGGAUAGCCAAGUGCUCUAGCUUCCAAGUCAUCCCCAAAGGUUCCCAGAUGUGAGCACUGGAGUCAGCCAGCAUUCCUGUUACCUUCCGUCACCGCAUGGGGUCUCAUAGCCAGGGACACCCAAAGAGAGGAGCUGGGGCCUCCAGCCUGAAAUCCCAACAAUGCAAAUGUGAACAGGGAGAGCAUUUGGUGUGGAUGCACAGGGAGCUCUCUGAUGGAAGUUAAAUCUUCCCCUCUCUUCCCCCCUCCCCCCGAAGCAAUGGGGAUUCAGUGACUUGCCCAGGGUCACACAGCCAGGAAGUGUUAAAUGUCUGAGGUCAGAUUUGAACUCAGGGCCUCCUGACUUUAGAGCUGGUGCUCCAUGGAGCCAUCCAGCUGCCCCUAAAGUUUAGAUCUUAAAAAGGUUUAGUACAAAAAGGAAAGAAAGGGCACAUUCCCAGGAGAGCAGCACAGAUCUGCCAGAAUGAGAGAGGCUAUUCCAUGCUUUGUUAAAGCUUUGCUCCAAGUGCUAGAGAUGCAAAUAAAAAAAGGCAAGACAAUCCUUGCUCUCCAGCAGCUUACAUUCUAAUGGGGGGUAUCACACACAAAAAGGGGAAUCGGAAAGGUGGGCCAUGUUACAUGUACAGAGCAGCGAAAUGUGGAGACUAAUGCCCAGGAUGGACCAAAUGCAGGCACAGAAAAUCCUAAAAAUAACAAAAGGGCUUCUUUUUAGUUCUAUUGGAGACAAAAGGAAAAUUAGGAGAGACUAGGAUUGGGGAAGCUGAGAUAGCAUUCAAAAGCAAGAACUUGGACCCGUCCUUUAUUGUUUCUUUAAAAUUGGAGAAUCCCAGAAUCGGAAACUCUCUCAACCCAUUCAGGUCAACCCCUUCUUUGCAAGGACCGGUCCUCGAGAGUGGCCUGGGCCAUUUUUUGCCCAGGAUCACUUUUUGCUCAGGGUCACUUGGAUAUGAAACCUCAAACCUGAAUAUCCCUGGCUUUGGAACCCACUCUCCAUCGUGCAACCCUAAUUCACAAAAACAAGCUGAAUUCUUCAGAUCCAGUUGAGUUCUCAUUUUUCUGUCAGUCUUUAAGCUGUAAACAGUAGAACAAACACGGUUUAAAAACAAAUUGGAACCUAAGAAAGGAGCAAAGAUACUAAGCCCCUUUCAUUGAGAUCUGGUCACGUGCCUCUAUGAACUGCAUUUCCACCACAAACACUCGAUUGUCAUGAAUGCUUUCUGGCAAAGAAACCUACUAUGUCUCUGACUCUGGAUUCUAGAGAGUCCCCUGAGGGGGUAAUUUCUCUUGGCUCUAGCCCCCAUUAGCCCGGCUUUCCCCACUUUGAGGGGCCAAUUUCUAGCACCUUAGUUGCAUAAGUCAAUAAGCAGUUAAGUAUCUACACUGUACCAGGUGCUUUGCUAAAUAUGGGGGGGGGUACAAAGAAAGGGGCAAAAAACCAGUUCUUGUGUUCAAGGAACUUGAGGUUUAGUGGGGGUUUGAGGGGAGAGUAGCUGGGUAGGGACAAACUAAGUAUAGGAUAAAUUGGGGAUAAGCCCUGUUUGAUGGACUGGCUGCAAAAACCCAUCCGUUAGGUACCACUGAACCUUCACAUGAUAUGAAUGAUGAAAUGGGGGACGGCAAAGAAGCCAGCCUUGUAUUCACUAGAAGGCACAUGGUGCCCUUGGGGGGUGGGGAGGCUUCCCAACCUGGAAUGUCAUCUUCAGAGGAGGAUAAUGAAAAGGGAGAUGACCCAAAACACCAGGCUGAAGCUGGCCGAAGUUCCACCCCCUCUCCGCCCCAAUAUCAGCUCCACAGCCUCUCCUAGCUACCUGGUGGUCUGGGGUCGAGGGUCUUCUUUGGCCCCAAUCCCACCACACCCCAUCAGCUGAGCCUCUUGAUGGGGUCGCUACCCACACUAUUCGCCAUUACAAGCAAAGAUGCUAUAAUGAAGUAUUUUAUUUUUCCACAAUUAAAUGUAAAAACCAUUUUUAACAUCCAUUUUUAAAACUUUGAGUUCCAAAUUCUCAUUGAGAAGGCAGGCAGUUCAAUAUAGGUUAUACAUGUGUAGUCAUGCAAAGCGUAUUUCCAUAUUAGUCAUAUUGUGAAAGAAAACACAAAAAAAAACCCUCAAGAAAAAUAAAGUUAAAAAAAAAGCAUGCUUCCGUCUGUAUUCAGGCACCAUCUAUUCUCUCUCUGAAUGGGAUGGCAUUUUUCGUCCUAAGUGCUUCAGAGUUGUCUUGGCUCACUGAAUUGCUGAGAAUAGUCAUUCACAGCCGAUCAUCUUCCGAUAUUGCUUUUACUUUGGACACGUUGCAUUGCCUUUUGCAUCAACCCGUGUAAGUCCAGGUUUUCCUGAGAGCAAUGCGCUCAUCUUUUCUUCUAGCACAUUAGUAUUCCAUCACAAUAUAUACCACAAUUUGUUCCGCCGUUCCUAGUUGA
ensembl:lncRNA